CUACCCAUGAGCAGGAUGAAGCGAAAGUAAAAUUUCGUGGAGGUCCGAACCCACGAGCGUUGAAAAGCUCGGGGAUGACUUGUGGGUAGCGGUGAAAUUCCAAUCGAGCCCGGAGAUAGCUGGUUCUCCCCGAAAUAGCUUUAGGGCUAGCCUCAAGGUGAGAGAUACGGAGGUAGAGCACUGAAUGUCCUAGGGGGUAUUGCACCUACCGAAGACUAUCAAACUCCGAAUGCCGUCAUCUUAUACUUGGGAGUCAGACUGUGGGUGAUAAGAUUCAUAGUCGAAAGGGCAACAGCCCAGAUCGUCAGCUAAGGUCCCUAAAUGUAAGUUAAGUGGUAAAGGAUGUGGGAUUGCACAGACAACCAGGAUGUUGGCUUAGAAGCAGCCACUCAUUCAAAGAGUGCGUAAUAGCUCACUGGUCGAGUGAUCCUGCGCCGAAGAUUUCCGGGGCUAAAACUUACUACCGAAGCUACGGCAUCAGUAAUGAUGGGUAGGGGAGCUUCCCAUAUGGGUUGAAGCAUGACCGUAAGGACAUGUGGACAGUAUGGGAGUGAGAAUGUUGGCAUGAGUAGCGAGAUGUGGGUGAGAAUCCCACGGGCCGUAAACCCAAGGUUUCCAGGGGAAGGUUCGUCCGCC
rnacentral:rRNA from 1 species